UUGGAAACGAAUAGCUAAGACCGCAUAGGUACGGACACUGCAUGGUGACCGUAUUAAAAGUGCCUCAAAGCACUGGUAGAGGAUGGACUUAUGGCGCAUUAGCUGGUUGGCGGGGGUAACGGCCCACCAAGGCGACGAUGCGUAGCCGACCUGAGAGGGUGACCGGCCACACUGGGACUGAGACACGGCCCAGACUCCUACGGGAGGCAGCAUG
rnacentral:rRNA from 1 species